UCCCUGGUAGUCUAGGGUUAGCGUUGGGCACUUUCAUUGCUUUGGCCCAGGUUCAAUCCCUGGUCUGGGAA
rnacentral:tRNA from 1 species